rnacentral:rRNA from 1 species
AGCAGGAGCUUGCUCUUGUGGAUCAGUGGCGAACGGGUGAGUAACACGUGAGCAACCUGCCCCUGACUCUGGGAUAAGCGCUGGAAACGGCGUCUAAUACUGGAUAUGUGACGUGACCGCAUGGUCUGCGUUUGGAAAGAUUUUUCGGUUGGGGAUGGGCUCGCGGCCUAUCAGCUUGUUGGUGAGGUAAUGGCUCACCAAGGCGUCGACGGGUAGCCGGCCUGAGAGGGUGACCGGCCACACUGGGACUGAGACACGGCCCAGACUCCUACGGGAGGCGGCAGUGGGGAAUAUUGCACAAUGGGCGAAAGCCUGAUGCAGCAACGCCGCGUGAGGGAUGACGGCCUUCGGGUUGUAAACCUCUUUUAGCAGGGAAGAAGCGAAAGUGACGGUACCUGCAGAAAAAGCGCCGGCUAACUACGUGCCAGCAGCCGCGGUAAU